UACGUAGGGUGCAAGCGUUGUCCGGAAUUAUUGGGCGUAAAGAGCUUGUAGGCGGUUUGUCGCGUCUGCUGUGAAAUUUCGCGGCUCAACCCCGAACUUGCAGUGGGUACGGGCAGACUAGAGUGUGGUAGGGGAGACUGGAAUUCCUGGUGUAGCGGUGAAAUGCGCAGAUAUCAGGAAGAACACCCGUGGCGAAGGCGGCUCUCUGGGACGGUACUGACGCUGAGACGCGAAAGCGUGGGGAGCGAACAGG
rnacentral:rRNA from 1 species